UUCUGGUUACAUUGUGUGUGCUCAAUUUGUUGCAUGCUAGUUGUUCCUAAGUAUCUUAAGGGCCCUUGCUUACUAUUCUGCUUCUUCUGGUGAGACUUAGAGGGGACUUGUACCUCAGGCCAAGCAUGGCGGAUUGGUUCAAGUGGGUACUAGGAGGGUGGGAGAGGCUGGUCACUGAGUGGAACGGCUUUCACUGCGUUCCUGGCCCUGAGACAAGAGGACAGUGAGGACUAAAUCCGAUGACUGGUGUCCUUGUCAGAAAGGAGGACUUUGAAACUGAGUCACACAAAGAGAAGGUAGCCCAGGAGGACGGUGGGAGACAUCAUGGGUCUGUGCUGUCCAACAGGAAGCUGCAAGAGGUAAUGGAGGGGGCUGGGUCUCCAGCCUCCUCAGAGAAUGUGUCCAUAACAACCCAGGGACUUCAGAUGCCUGAGCUCUGGAAGCAGGCAGGACAGACAGAAAGACUCAGUGCUGUUCACAGCUACAGGCUCUCACUCUUGUUCAGGGGCUGAGCCUGGCGCUGACACUGGAUCUUCACCUCCUGGCGAAUGAAGAUAAAGAAAAGACAAGGAGAGAUAUCAGCGUUCCUCAUUCUCAUCCCUAAAGAGCCAAGGAUGUGGGAGAAAAAGGCUGCUUCUUCUCUUCCAGGACCCCUACUCUCCCCACAGAUAAAUGAAGCUCCAGCCUUACUAUGCACAACCCACCAAAAACUCCCCAUGAGAGGACCUGGAACUCCAGCUCCUGCACCUAUGGCUCCGGGAACAGAGAAGAGGGCAGAAAGACUGUAAGAGGCAGAGUAUGAAGAAAUGUGCUGUGAGACUGCCUGUCUGAGAAAGAGCUGCAUGAACAAGAAGGGAAACAAUGACAACAUCAACUCACAGGCUAAGAAGGAAAGGGAAAUACUACAGGCAGCUAAUGACUGCUGAGAGGGAGAAAUAGCCUCUCCCACAAAUGAACCCUUAUUAUCCACUACAAGGUGGUCAGCCCCAGAACCAAAUAUACAAAAAUUGACUGGGUAGGUUGUAGUGUGUGUGUGUGUUUGUGUGUGUGUGUGUGUGUGUCAAUAAUAAUAAAAGAAGUCAUCAAUUUGAGAAUAGGUAGAGAGACACGGUAGGGGUCAAAGAGAUGAACAUUGGAGCGCCUAGAGGAAAGAAAGAAAAGGGGAGGCAUGCUGCAAUUAUAUUUUAACUUAAAAUGCUAAUUAAUUAAGAUUCUA